GUCAUAUGCAACUUUAGAGUUGUCCCUGUUACAACAGGGUUUGCAUCUGCUGAUCAAAAAUUUUGACAAAAAAAAUGCAUCUGUACUGAACAUAUGUGGAUUCUUUGUUCUUGUCACUAUUCUCUUAACAAUACAAUAUAACAAGUAUUUACAUCAUUUACAUUGUAUUAGAUACUAUGAGCCAUUUAGACACAACUUAAAGUAUCAGGAAGAUAUGUGUAACUUGUAUGCAGAUACAUGCCACUUUAUAUAAAAGAUUCAAGCAGGGCUGGGGCUGUAGCUCAGUCAGUAGAGUGCUUGCCUAACAUGUAUGAGGCACUGGGUUCAAUCCUCAGCACUCCAUAAAAAUAAAAUGAAGGUAUUGUGUCUAUUUACUAUAAAAAAUAUUAAAAAAAAAAAAACAAAGAUUCAAGCAUGUACAUGCUUGGAUGUCUUUAGAGGUCCCGGAACCAAUUUCCCAUAGAUACUGAAGGACAAUUGUGUAUUUAAAAACAAUGAUAUAGCAUGGCAAGUUUGGUUUAUUGCAGAAAUACCACACCACAUUAACUAAAUAUCUGUAAGACAACUUAUAUGACUCGUGAGAUUAACAGAAUAUGGAAGAACUAAGUGGAUAUAUCAUGAUCGGGUUAGAUGCAGAGAAAGCCCUCAGUAAAACUUAAGUCAUUCAAGAAUUAAACAUAAGUAAAUAUCUCUUCAAAAAUUAGAGAUACCAGUCACAGUGGCAUGCGUCUGUAAUCCCAGUGAUUUGGGAGGCUGAGACAGGAGGAUGGCCAGUGUGUGGCCAGUGUGUGGCUACUUAGUCACUAUCAGUGCUCACGUUCAAGACCCUGUAAAUAAAAUUUUUAAAAAGGGGUGGGGAUGUGGCUCGAUGGCAAUGAACUCCUGUGUUAAUUCCCAGUACCAUCCCCCCUCCAAAUUAAGAAUAAAAAGAGGGAACUUUCUCUACCUGAUCAAAAAACUAUAGAUAGCAUACUCAGGAUGGCAUAGUGAAGGUAUUUCCCUGAAUCAAUCAUCAGAAAGGCAAAGCUACCUGCCAGAAAUGGUGCUCAUGUUCAAGACAUAGUGGGGACUCCAACCAUUGAAAUCAAUGUACCCAACUCCCCAUCCAAAUAUGUAAAAGAAUAGCAAAGUAAAAAUUAAAUCAGGAGGAUAUACACAGUAUAUAUACAAAAUUGUCAUUAUUUCACAUGACAAGUAAUAGUUGGAGACUGUUCAAAG
rnacentral:tRNA from 1 species